rnacentral:lncRNA from 1 species
CUCUAGAUCAACAGAGCUGGACUUGGAAAGACUGUGAGGGAGAGUAACUUCUCUGUUCCUUUGGUCACUUUUCACCAGAAAGGCAACUGAAACUUACAAAAGUGAAAUGACUUCUUCAAGGUGACAAGAGAGUGCUCCUCCUGCUUGGGGCUGCUUCCUGUGAAGGGCGUGGCUGCACAGCUGCAAACCAUCCCAUCCCUGCCUCACCGGCACAGGUGGCCGCUGCCACCUAGGACAGCCUGGACUUUGCCAUCUCCUUCUUGCGGAGUAUGAGCAAGCAGGCCUCCAGCCCGCUGCAUCAGAUCCUUCCUACCAUGGCUCUCCAUCUUCCAUCAUUCUUCAUGGGACUAUCUUCUAAGCUUCCUCAGAGUAUGGUUUGUCCUCACGCUAGAAGCGGCCCCACUUAGGUCUACCCACUGUUGGAGUUUCCUCGAUCGCUCAUCUUGGAAAGUACAUCCCCAUCCAAUACUGGGUGGAGACCACAUUGGAGACCUUAUGGCCCUGCUCCUGCUAACAACCCAGCACUCUGCUUCCCACUAGGCAACAACGCUGCUGCUGCUGCUGCCACUGUUGCUGCCCACUUUAUAGACAGGUGCAGCUUAGUUUCCAUACCAUUGUUGAGUUGUAAAUGCCCUCUGUGUAAAGGUCAUCCACAGUUGUAAGGUAUAUCAACAUCAUUUGGAGACAGGAUAGCGUUACGGUUAAUGGUGUGAGCUUUGGAAUCAACUGACUGGAGGUUAAGUCUGGCAACUUCUACUUCUUGUAUAACCUUGGGCAAGUAAUUUAAUUUUUCUACAACUCAGUUUUCUUAUUUGUAAAAUUGGGAAAAUACCAGAACCUUUCUU